GAACUAUUAACACUGGUAGAGCUCUUAGGUCCAUAACUGUACAGAAACUAGAUAUAUAUUGUCUAAGAUCGAUAUUGGCCACGUUCUAUUUUUAAACCGUUCCAGUUCAUGUUUACAGGUACAUUGUAGACACGGCAAAUUUACUGUUGUCGCCAUUAAUACAGAACAGGAUUAUUACAGAACUUGGACACGAUGGUACGAGUUGUGUUAAAGUAUGGGCCCUACCAGAGAUGAAACGGCGUAUACCACAAUGCUGGAAAGGUCCAAGGCUUAUUGACGGCUGUUGCGUCAUCGGGUCACGUGGUAAUCCCACAGAAAGUCCAGAAGCAUGAAGCCUGUGGACUUUAUAUUGAUUCCAAAUGUGUAUGGUCAUGUAAUAUUACCCGGCUACAGCCAGGUGAUGGACCUUCCCAUCCAUUGUGUGUGGAUGCUUUAAAGGCCAUUAAAGCUCACCUAGCAUCAUAAUACCCGGAUAUGACGAUGUACCCUACCUUCCUACGUCUCCCAUGACGGUUCCAACUUAAAACUCAGAUGGGUUGGAACUUGAUGUCCUCAGACAGUAGAAACAAAAUAAAUAUAUAUAUAUAAAUCAU